rnacentral:rRNA from 1 species
GACGAACCGAGCGAACGUUGUUCGGAAUCACUGGGCUUAAAGGGUGCGUAGGCGGCGCGGAAAGUUGGGUGUGAAAUCCCUCGGCUCACCCGAGGACCUGCAUCCCAAACUGCCGAGCUUGAGUAUGGGAGAGGAUGAGGGAAUUCCUGGUGUAGCGGUGAAAUGCGUAGAUAUCAGGAGGAACACCGGUGGCGAAGGCGCUCAUCUGGCCCAAUACUGACGCUGAGGCGCGAAAGCUAGGGGAGCAAACGGG